GGGAGUGGUGACCAUGUGAAUACUGUGGGGCAGAGGGAAAUGCAUGUUCGAAGUCCUUAAGGUGGAACAAGAUAGGUCGUGCUGGGUCUGCAAUGUGGUAUCCACUAUAGCUAGAGAGCCAUGUUCUGUUUCUCCCUAGGUGCAGAGAAAUGGUCAGUGAGAUGAGGAUCUUAGGUAGAGAAUUUUCCAGCAGCCUCAAGGCCACCUCUCCAGUGGUGAGGAGAAGACCCAGGAUUCUCACAGAGCUGGACAAGUGCUGUGUCACUGAGCUACACCACCAGCCCUUGGGUCUUAUCAUAAAUAAACAAGACGUCACUCUUGAAGAGAAUUCUUUGAGGAUUAAUGAAGACAGCAACCAAAAAUGAAGUUUUCCAUGAGCAUGCUCACAGCCUGACUGCCUCCCAAGCCAUGUUCCCCAGCUACGGUUGGAGAAUGUCUUCAAAGAAAUCCAGUCAACCUCUUUUGAUUUUGGCCACAGCUGCAUACUGAGCAUUGAGUAGUCGCCUUGUCUCUCGCCUUUCUCUUCUCCCUAGUGAAGAACAAAAAUAAACACAAUAAGCCUUCUACAAGGCUGUGCUCAGUGGCACACACCUGGAGUCCCAGCAUCGAGGAGUGGAUGGGGAGAGUCAGGGGUUGUUCAAGGUCAUCCUCAGUUACAAAGUGAGGCUGAAGCCAACCUGGGCUACACGAGGCCUUGUUCCAAGAAACCAAAACUAAACAAAUGCAUGGACAAAGAAACGAACAAAGAAAAAUGAAUCUUACAUAAAAUAUGGGUCCUAGAAAAGAACUGGUUGAGCCCUUUGGGUGCCACUCCCUGCAUUACUUAAAUAUGAGGGGAUCUUCUGCCUCAUGAAUCACCCCAUACCUGCCUGCCCACACCCACAUUUCCCCCCACGAAACACUUCUUACCCAGACAGUGACUGUCCAGGCCAGUGUGCCGUUGUGUGCAUGUGUGCUUCUCCCAUCUCCAUGUUUAGGAAAAAUCUCAAACUGUUCAUGGAAGAGGGGAAUCCUAUAGAAGUUGUACCACAUGGAUCUCUGUCCCCCAGCCUUGUCAGGUGACUGGAGAAAACCUAAUGGGGGAAUUUCAGAAGCUCAAGCAUCCUUGCUGCAUGAGAAUAGACAACACACACAUACACACACACACACACACACACACACACCAGCAUGGUUUGCUGCAGCUCUCUAACAAGGCCUGAUUAGCAUUCCCCUUUCAAGGACUCCUUCAACAAUCCAGCUGUACUGAUUGUGGGCAGCGAAAUGGAAUCAAGUUCAGUGGUGACUCAGGAAGGCAGCUGAUGGGGAGAGAGGCAAGGCAAAAAAAGACUGAAGGCUUUUAUAGCCUGGAGAGACUGUUCCAAUCAAAGGGAUUGAGGAGACCCUUGGAGAUUAUAGACACAGACUUAAAUGCACACAAUGAGAAUGGAGAGAAAAGUGCCUCAUACUAGUGAUACUGAGAAAGACAAAAAAAGAAAAAAAGAAAGAAAAAGCUAGAAGAACACACCUAGAAAGAUGCUUCCUAGAGCAAGGAAUGGAAUGGAAAAGACUGGAGUUUUAGAAAAUGAAAAGGUGUGCAUCCGUGAAGAGCUGUCCUGCAACCACUCUUGCCUCUGGAUUGAACCACAAUGCCUGUCUGCAGAUGCACUGUGCCAGUGGCUUUGAGAAUUCGGGAUCCUGUCACUGAUUCCUCCCCAGAUGCUGGGAUGGAGCUCAAGACCCCAUAAGCACUACGAGAGGAUCAUAUUCCCAGUCCACAGGUCCAGGCUUUUUGUCCCUCUUGCUGCUCAUGGGUCAUUCUGAUCAAGUGCCUACUGUGCUACAUGCUGGUGCAGCAUCUUGGUGGACACGUGUAAAUUGUGAGCAUCCUCCGAGUGUCUCUCCCUCUCCAGCUAGGAUCUUGCUGAGGGAGAGGUAUGUAUCUCAUUCUCUCUCCCAAUAUAACUCAGCUUCAGACUCAGCCUUGUUUGGGGUAGUAAUUAACACUGCCUUUCCUGAGCCCUCUGACACUCAACGAUCCUCUGAGCCUAUCUUCAAAGGAGAAUGUCAUAGAUUGUGGCUGUCAGAAGAGGACUCUGGGGUCACUUACUACAGCUUCUCAUGUUGACAGGAAUCCUUCUGUCACACCAAAAAGGUGGUCUCACAUCUUAAUCAAGGGCAAUCACAAUGUCACCCACUGUCACUGUUAAGGUACUGGUCCUGAAAGGCCGAACAUCCUAGUUACUUGCUGCUAACCAUACACAAAGCAACUAAACCCAAACAGGUUAAGUCAGCUUCCAUAGCCUCACAAACCAGAAUAGGGUUUAUUUUGGCCUGCUUAUUUAAGAGCAAGCUUGGGAAACCAAACAAACACCUCCAAGUUACAGGCAGUCUGGUAAAUAUGGAACAGUCUUCCUCCAGAAUCUUUGGGUUAAACUUUGUCUGAAUGUUUACAGCUACUCUCACUUCUUGAGUUCUGGAAGCAGCUUCUUCAGUUUCCCAGCCAACCCCCCUUGUGUCUUUCAACCCAGACAGGUAGGAAUCUUCCACCAUGGCCCAAUCAACUCUUCCUGCACCAGCACCACUUGUCCUCAGUGAAGGGGAGGGAAGAGCUUGCCUGUCAUUUCUCAUGGGCUUGCCCACACUUGAGCUGUCAGGCCUUCCUGGGAAAAUGGCUCCUGUCCGGGAGUGGGUGUGUGUGUCCACAGCUCCAUUCCCCAUGGCUAAGUGCCAAGGAACGAAAGUGUCGGGGCCUUUGAAAUUGUCAGAGAAACUGAUUUCCUUGUCAGGUCUUGUCCUGUACAGUUAGAGGGCCAAAUUCUACUUUCGUGUUAGCUGCCACUCGGAUCAAAGGCCGAUGACAAGGAGUUGAAGGGCUUGUACCUGGUGUGCUUCAAGAUUUCCACAGCCCUGCAUUAGGGAGAGCUUCUGCCUUUCGGCUUCCUUGAACUCUCUUAUCCACCCUGGUUUGUGGGCAACCAUAUGAGGGGUCUGGGAGACAGUUUAGAGGAAU